AAAGGACUCUGCUUAUGGAUCUUAUGAAUCUGAUAAUACUUAUAGGGACUAUUACAGGCAGCAAUUGAUGGGCAAUCAGAGCAAAUUCAAUGGAGUUUUGGAAAGUUUGAGAAAAGAAUCUGAAGAAUCAGCACUGCUGGCUGCUCUUACGGAACUAUGUGAUUUGUUAUCGUUUUCUCCUGAUAGUUCGAUGUCGAACGUAAUGGCAGAUUUAUUUUCUCCCGUUCUUGUUAGAUUGGCUAGAUAUGAGAGCAAUUCUGAAAUAAUGCUAUUAGCAAUCAGGGCAAUGACUUAUUUAUGUGA
rnacentral:misc_RNA from 1 species